rnacentral:rRNA from 1 species
CUACGGGAUGCUCCAGUGAGGAAUAUUGCACAAUGGGGGGAACCCUGAUGCAGCAACGCCGCGUGGAGGAUGACGCAUUUCGGUGUGUAAACUCCUUUUAUAUGUCAAGAAAAUGACGGUAGCAUAUGAAUAAGCACCGGCUAACUCCGUGCCAGCAGCCGCGGUAAUACGGAGGGUGCAAGCGUUACUCGGAAUCACUGGGCGUAAAGGACGCGUAGGCGGGUUGGAAAGUCAGGUGUGAAAUCCUACAGCUUAACUGUAGAACUGCACUUGAAACUUCUAAGCUCGAGUAUGGGAGGGGGAGAUGGAAUUAGUUGUGUAGGGGUAAAAUCCGUAGAUAUCACUAGGAAUACCUAAAGCGAAGGCGAUCUCCUGGAACAUUACUGACGCUAAGGCGUGAAAGCGUGGGGAGCAAACAGGAUUAGAUACCCUCGUAGUC